AUGCAGCUGACAAGUUUCAAAUACAACGAAACGCGCGUCCUGGAU
rfam:Schistosoma rodhaini strain Burundi genome assembly, scaffold: SROB_scaffold0011448